UACGAAGGGUGCGAGCGUUGUUCGGAAUUACUGGGCGUAAAGGGCGCGCAGGCGGCUCUGCAAGUCAGAUGUGAAAGCCCCGGGCUUAACCUGGGAAUUGCAUUUGAUACUCUGGAGCUUGAGUGUGGGAGAGGAGAGUGGAAUUCCCAGUGUAGAGGUGAAAUUCGUAGAUAUUGGGAAGAACACCAGUGGCGAAGGCGGCUUCCUGGCCUGUUCUUGACGCUGAGGCGCGAAAGCUAGGGGAGCAAACGGG
rnacentral:rRNA from 1 species